rnacentral:misc_RNA from 1 species
GAAAUGCGAUAAGUAAUGUGAAUUGCAGAAUUCAGUGAAUCAUCGAAUCUUUGAACGCACAUUGCGCCCGCCAGUAUUCUGGCGGACAUGCCUGUUCGAGCGUCAUUUCAACCAUCAAGCCCCCGGCUUGUGUUGGGGACCUGCGGCUGCCCGCAGGCCCUGAAAAACAGUGGCGGGCUCGCUGUCACACCGAGCGUAGUAGCAUACAUUCUCGCUCAGGGCGUGCUGCGGGUUCCGGCCGUUAAACGACCUUCAUAACCCAAGGUUGACCUCGGAUCAGGUAGGAAGACCCGCUGAACUUAAGC